UUCUUGUUAUCUGCAGCUAUUUCAUACUUACUCAGAAGAUCAUGCCAGUGAGUCAUGGGUCGCCUUAGGAAUGAGAUGUGGACAUGGACACUGUGUCUUUUCUCAUACAGGAUUGGCGCAGCAGUAGCUGAACCUACAUUUCAGGGUGGUCACAAUGGAUACAAAGUUUAGACCAGCCAGCCAACUGUAUAACAUCAUCAAACUUGAGGAUCCGAACAAUAACAGGAUUGGACAGUGGCUAAAUGAAACAUCCAACAGCAAAAUACUUCAGCUGUCCCACUCCUUAAACUCAGAAGCCCGUGAAGGAUCCUACAGAAUCACUGUGUUAGCGGGUGAAGAUAAAAUACAACACAUCUUCAAAAUGGAGAAGUAUCUUUUGCCCAAAUUUGAUGAAAUAAUAAAUGUAACAGAAGAAGUCAGUGUUGGGCAGGAAGGAUUGGAAGCUAAAAUAUGUGCAAAGUACACAUACACAGCCUGUGCCAGGAAGCGUUACAGUGAAGGUGUGCCAGCCUCUUUAUGAGAGCAAUCAAGCGAAUCAGGAGAAAAUAACUCCUUGUGAUGUACAGAUAAAGAAGAAUAAAGACAAUGGAGCCUCAGGAGUGGAACAGGAGGGGAAAUCGAAUAAGAAUUGAAGAAGAUAUGACCAUCUGAAUGUCUGCCCUCACCAGACUACUUUUCUGAGAAAUCAGUCCUGAAAGAUUCGUUGUUUUCUCACCCUGAAAGCAGGGCGGUGACAAAAGCUGCUAAUUUGUAUAACUUUGAAUAGUCCACCUCCCCCAACUGUUUGUCAACAGAAGCUCCAACUGACUGCAACAGACUUCUGUCACUGAACACAUAGUAGUAUUUUUAUAUGUAAAGAUAAUAUAUAGCACUGCAUUACAAUUUACUAUUAUUUUAUUUAUGUCUGCAAAUUGCAUCAUGACUGCAACCUAAUGUCUGCAUCCAGGUGAUUGGUUUGGUUUCCUCUUGUUUUUAGACAAAUCUCACUUAAAGUUCCAGUCUAUUAAAUGUUCUGCCUCAGGCAGAGUUUGAAAUCCUAUCUCACAGCAAUUAGCAAAAUAUCAAGGUAAUAUGAAUGUGUUCUUCUUAAUAUGUAAUAUGAAAUGUCCAAAGAUUAUUGUAGCAUGCAGAAAUAUUGUUUAUCAGUCUUCAUUUUAUGUGUACUUUGAAGAAUCUAGAAUAUAAGACAUAUUUUUAGUUGUUUCACACUUUUUUGUUCAGUAUAUAAUUCCACAUAU